rnacentral:lncRNA from 1 species
AUAUGAGUAAUUACUCUAGCGCUCCUUUGUGCCUGAGGAUUUAAGUUUCCAGCCCUGCCAAUAGAUGAAGUAAUAUAAAGCCAUCAUCACUGAAGCACACAGGUUCAACAGUGGGUCUAAAUACUCAGUCUUGGCCUCUCUGAGUGGCACAGGUCAAGGUUGGUGAUCCUAAGUGUGAAUGAGAACUUGGUGGGAGCUGCAUGGGACCCAGUGUUCGUAGUCACGGACAACAUUAAAGGGGAAGAGACAGCAUCUAACCAGGAGGUUUAAAAUGAACCAACUUACGGCAACUCAGAACUUUCUGCUUGCUGUGGGAUCCAGGACUAUCCUCUGAGUUCAGAGAUGGUGACUCCAGGAAUAUCAUCUAUUAAGCGGUGAAUUAUCAAUACGUAACCAGACUAAGUUAAAUCAUCAUGUGGCCUCCAGAUAAAUGAAGAGAGACAAGAGCCAAAGUCCAGCUCCAGCUGGCAUCCAGUUGGAGGUCCCAGCAAGAUGAAGACUCCAACUCAAAUUCUGAAGGCAGACCUUCACUUUGGGACUCUGGGACCAGAGUGCUG